rnacentral:rRNA from 1 species
AGUUUGAUUAUGGCUCAGAUUGAACGCUGGCGGGAUGUUUACACAUGCAGCUGAACGGCAGCAAUGGACUUUUGGCCUGGUGGCGAGUGGCGAACGGGUGAGUAAUGUAUCGGGACGUGCCUAUAUGGGGGAUAACUAUUAAGGUAGCUAAUACCGUAUACGCGGCUCCUCGGGGGAAAGUGGGGACCUUCGGGCCUCGCACCACAGAGCGGCCGGGAUAUCGGAUUAGCUAGUUGGUGGGUAACGGCUCACCAAGGCGACGAUCCGUAGCUGGUUUGAGAGGACGACCAGCCACACUGGGACUGAGACACGCCCGACUCCUACGGGAGGCAGCAGUGGGGAAAUUUUGGAGCACUGGGAAACUUCUGAUCCAGCCAUCCCGCGUGCGAUGAAGGCCUUCGGUUGCAGCACUUUGCGAAAGAAACGGCACGGGAUAACACCCGUGCAACUGACGGCACCCGCAGAAUAAGCACCGCCAAUCACGCCAGCCAGCAGCCGCGGUAAUACGUAGGGUGCAAGCGUUAAUCGGAAUUACUGGGCGUAAGCGUGCGCAAGGCGGUUCGGAAAGAAAAUAUGUGAAUCCAGAGCUUAACUUCUUGAACUGCAUUUUUAACUACCGAGCUAGAGUGUGUUGGAGGGGAGGUGGAAUUCCGCGGCAGUGAAAUGCGUAGAUAUGCGGAGGAACACCGAUGGCGAAGGCAGCCUCCUGGGGAUAGCCUACUGACGCUCAUGCACGAAAGUGGGAGCAAACAGGAUUAGAUACUCCUGGUAGUCCACGCCCUAAACGAUGUCAACUAAUGUUGGGGCCUGGCCUGCAGCGCAGCUAACGCGUGAAGUUGACCGCCUGGGGAGUACGGUCGCAAGAUUAAAACUCAAUGGAAUUGACGGGGACCCGCACAAGCGGUGUGGAUGAUGAUUAAUUCGAUGCAACGCGAAAAACCUUACCUACUCUUGAUAUGUUCUGGAAUCCCGAAGAGACGAAUGAGUGCCGCAAGAGAACCGGAACACAGGUGCUGUGGUUUUCCGGCCGUCGCUUUCCGUGUCGUGAGAUGUUGGGUUAAGUCCCGCAACGAGCGCAACCUCGGUCAUUAGUUGCUAUGAAAGGGCACUCUAAUGAGAAUGUUGGUGACAAACCGGAGAAGGAUGACGUCAAGUCCUCAUGGCCCUUAUGGGUAGGCUUCGCACGUCAUACAAUGGUCGGGACAGAGACGCCAACCUGCGAGGGGAGCGCCAAUCCCAGAAACCCGAUCAGAAGUCCGAUCGCAGUCUUGCAAAUCGACUGCGUGGGAAGUCGGAAUCGCUAGUGACUCGCGGAUCAGCAUGUCGCGGGGUGAAUACGUUCCCGGGUCUUGCACACACCGCCCGUCACAACUGGCGGAUGGGCUUUACCAGAAGUAGUUAGCCUAACCGUAAAGGAGGGCGAUUACCACGGUAGGAUUCAUGACUGGGUGAAGUCGCACAAAGGCAG